rnacentral:rRNA from 1 species
ACUAAGCGUACACGGUGGAUGCCCUGGCAGUCAGAGGCGAUGAAGGACGUGCUAAUCUGCGAUAAGCGUCGGUAAGGUGAUAUGAACCGUUAUAACCGGCGAUUUCCGAAUGGGGAAACCCAGUGUGUUUCGACACACUAUCAUUAACUGAAUCCAUAGGUUAAUGAGGCGAACCGGGGGAACUGAAACAUCUAAGUACCCCGAGGAAAAGAAAUCAACCGAGAUUCCCCCAGUAGCGGCGAGCGAACGGGGAGCAGCCCAGAGCCUGAAUCAGUGUGUGUGUUAGUGGAAGCGUCUGGAAAGGCGCGCGAUACAGGGUGACAGCCCCGUACACAAAAAUGCACAUACUGUGAGCUCGAUGAGUAGGGCGGGACACGUGGUAUCCUGUCUGAAUAUGGGGGGACCAUCCUCCAAGGCUAAAUACUCCUGACUGACCGAUAGUGAACCAGUACCGUGAGGGAAAGGCGAAAAGAACCCCGGCGAGGGGAGUGAAAAAGAACCUGAAACCGUGUACGUACAAGCAGUGGGAGCACGCUUCGGCGUGUGACUGCGUACCUUUUGUAUAAUGGGUCAGCGACUUAUAUUCUGUAGCAAGGUUAACCGAAUAGGGGAGCCGAAGGGAAACCGAGUCUUAACUGGGCGUUAAGUUGCAGGGUAUAGACCCGAAACCCGGUGAUCUAGCCAUGGGCAGGUUGAAGGUUGGGUAACACUAACUGGAGGACCGAACCGACUAAUGUUGAAAAAUUAGCGGAUGACUUGUGGCUGGGGGUGAAAGGCCAAUCAAACCGGGAGAUAGCUGGUUCUCCCCGAAAGCUAUUUAGGUAGCGCCUCGUGAAUUCAUCUCCGGGGGUAGAGCACUGUUUCGGCAAGGGGGUCAUCCCGACUUACCAACCCGAUGCAAACUGCGAAUACCGGAGAAUGUUAUCACGGGAGACACACGGCGGGUGCUAACGUCCGUCGUGAAGAGGGAAACAACCCAGACCGCCAGCUAAGGUCCCAAAGUCAUGGUUAAGUGGGAAACGAUGUGGGAAGGCCCAGACAGCCAGGAUGUUGGCUUAGAAGCAGCCAUCAUUUAAAGAAAGCGUAAUAGCUCACUGGUCGAGUCGGCCUGCGCGGAAGAUGUAACGGGGCUAAACCAUGCACCGAAGCUGCGGCAGCGACACUAUGUGUUGUUGGGUAGGGGAGCGUUCUGUAAGCCUGUGAAGGUGUGCUGUGAGGCAUGCUGGAGGUAUCAGAAGUGCGAAUGCUGACAUAAGUAACGAUAAAGCGGGUGAAAAGCCCGCUCGCCGGAAGACCAAGGGUUCCUGUCCAACGUUAAUCGGGGCAGGGUGAGUCGACCCCUAAGGCGAGGCCGAAAGGCGUAGUCGAUGGGAAACAGGUUAAUAUUCCUGUACUUGGUGUUACUGCGAAGGGGGGACGGAGAAGGCUAUGUUGGCCGGGCGACGGUUGUCCCGGUUUAAGCGUGUAGGCUGGUUUUCCAGGCAAAUCCGGAAAAUCAAGGCUGAGGCGUGAUGACGAGGCACUACGGUGCUGAAGCAACAAAUGCCCUGCUUCCAGGAAAAGCCUCUAAGCAUCAGGUAACAUUAAAUCGUACCCCAAACCGACACAGGUGGUCAGGUAGAGAAUACCAAGGCGCUUGAGAGAACUCGGGUGAAGGAACUAGGCAAAAUGGUGCCGUAACUUCGGGAGAAGGCACGCUGAUAUGUAGGUGAAGUCCCUCGCGGAUGGAGCUGAAAUCAGUCGAAGAUACCAGCUGGCUGCAACUGUUUAUUAAAAACACAGCACUGUGCAAACACGAAAGUGGACGUAUACGGUGUGACGCCUGCCCGGUGCCGGAAGGUUAAUUGAUGGGGUUAGCGGUAACGCGAAGCUCUUGAUCGAAGCCCCGGUAAACGGCGGCCGUAACUAUAACGGUCCUAAGGUAGCGAAAUUCCUUGUCGGGUAAGUUCCGACCUGCACGAAUGGCGUAAUGAUGGCCAGGCUGUCUCCACCCGAGACUCAGUGAAAUUGAACUCGCUGUGAAGAUGCAGUGUACCCGCGGCAAGACGGAAAGACCCCGUGAACCUUUACUAUAGCUUGACACUGAACAUUGAGCCUUGAUGUGUAGGAUAGGUGGGAGGCUUUGAAGUGUGGACGCCAGUCUGCAUGGAGCCGACCUUGAAAUACCACCCUUUAAUGUUUGAUGUUCUAACGUUGACCCGUGAUCCGGGUUGCGGACAGUGUCUGGUGGGUAGUUUGACUGGGGCGGUCUCCUCCUAAAGAGUAACGGAGGAGCACGAAGGUUGGCUAAUCCUGGUCGGACAUCAGGAGGUUAGUGCAAUGGCAUAAGCCAGCUUGACUGCGAGCGUGACGGCGCGAGCAGGUGCGAAAGCAGGUCAUAGUGAUCCGGUGGUUCUGAAUGGAAGGGCCAUCGCUCAACGGAUAAAAGGUACUCCGGGGAUAACAGGCUGAUACCGCCCAAGAGUUCAUAUCGACGGCGGUGUUUGGCACCUCGAUGUCGGCUCAUCACAUCCUGGGGCUGAAGUAGGUCCCAAGGGUAUGGCUGUUCGCCAUUUAAAGUGGUACGCGAGCUGGGUUUAGAACGUCGUGAGACAGUUCGGUCCCUAUCUGCCGUGGGCGCUGGAGAACUGAGGGGGGCUGCUCCUAGUACGAGAGGACCGGAGUGGACGCAUCACUGGUGUUCGGGUUGUCAUGCCAAUGGCACUGCCCGGUAGCUAAAUGCGGAAGAGAUAAGUGCUGAAAGCAUCUAAGCACGAAACUUGCCCCGAGAUGAGUUCUCCCUGACUCUUUGAGGGUCCUGAAGGAACGUUGAAGACGACGACGUUGAUAGGCCGGGUGUGUAAGCGCAGCGAUGCGUUGAGCUAACCGGUACUAAUGAACCGUGAGGCUUAACC